UACGUAGGGAGCGAGCGUUAUCCGGAAUUACUGGGUGUAAAGGGAGCGUAGACGGCGAGGUAAGCCUGAAGUGGAAGCCCGCGGCCCAACCGCGGAACUGCUUUGGGAACUGUUUUGCUGGAGUAUGGGAGGGGUAAGCGGAAUUCCUGGUGUAGCGGUGAAAUGCGUAGAUAUCAGGAGGAGCACCGGUGGCGAAGGCGGCUUACUGGACCAUAACUGACGUUGAGGCUCGAAAGCGUGGGGAGCGAACAGG
rnacentral:rRNA from 1 species